GGAUUCAUCCGUUGGUCGGGCUUUACGGUCCGCACUGGUGUGAUGGGUUCCUACCUUCUGAAUAACCGGCAUGCCAUUAAUUUGGUGCGCCGGGGAAGCAGAACUAUUACCUUGAAAAAAUUAGAGUGCUUAAAGCAGGUUAUUGCCUGAAUACAUUAGCAUGGAAUAAUGAAAUAGGACGUUCGAUCCUAUUUUGUUGGUUUCUAGGAUUGACGUA
rnacentral:rRNA from 1 species